rnacentral:rRNA from 1 species
UACGAAGGGGGCUAGCGUUGCUCGGAAUUACUGGGCGUAAAGCGCACGUAGGCGGCUUGUUAAGUCAGGGGUGAAAUCCUGGAGCUCAACUCCAGAACUGCCUUUGAUACUGGCGAGCUUGAGUUCGGGAGAGGUGAGUGGAACUGCGAGUGUAGAGGUGAAAUUCGUAGAUAUUCGCAAGAACACCAGUGGCGAAGGCGGCUCACUGGCCCGAUACUGACACUCAGGUGCGACAGCGUGGGGAGCAAACAGG